UACAGAGGUCUCGAGCGUUAGGCGGAAUCACUGGGCUUAAAGCGUGUGUAGGUGGAUCGGUAAGUACCUUGUGAAAUCCCACGGCUUAACCGUGGAACUGCUUGGUAUACUGCCAGUCUUGAGCCAGCUAGGGGCUACCGGAACAAAUGGUGGAGCGGUGAAAUGCGUAGAUAUCUGGAGGAACACCGGUGGCGAAGGCGGCAUCCUGGACCAACACUGACGCUGAGGAGCGAAAGCCAGGGGAGCAAACGGG
rnacentral:rRNA from 1 species